CAAUAGCGUAUACUAAUGUUGUUGCAGUUAAAAAGCUCGUAGUUGAACUUCUGGUAGGAGUGUCCCGGCCUUUUUGUUUUUACAAAUUGUAUGCUGUGUGACAUCUCUGGCCAUCCUUCUUCUUUGUUUAAAGAAGAUCUUUCACUGUAAAAAAAUUAGGGUGUUCAAAGCAAAAGUUUCUUUGGAAUAUAUUAGUAUGGGAUGAUAAGAUAGGCUCUAGAUGCUAUUUUGUUGGUUUGCACAUUUAGAGAAUGAUUAACAGGGACAGUUGGGGGUAUUCGUAUUUACAUGUCAGAGGUGAAAUUCUUGGAUUUUGGAAAGACGAACUACUGCGAAAGCAUUUACCAAGGAUGUUUUCACUAA
rnacentral:rRNA from 1 species